GGGGAAUAUUGCACAAUGGGCGCAAGCCUGAUGCAGCCAUGCCGCGUGUGUGAAGAAGGCCUUCGGGUUGUAAAGCACUUUCAGCGGGGAGGAAGGCGAUAAGGUUAAUAACCUUGUCGAUUGACGUUACCCGCAGAAGAAGCACCGGCUAACUCCGUGCCAGCAGCCGCGGUAAUACGGAGGGUGCAAGCGUUAAUCGGAAUUACUGGGCGUAAAGCGCACGCAGGCGGUUUGUUAAGUCAGAUGUGAAAUCCCCGGGCUCAACCUGGGAACUGCAUCUGAUACUGGCAAGCUUGAGUCUCGUAGAGGGGGGUAGAAUUCCAGGUGUAGCGGUGAAAUGCGUAGAGAUCUGGAGGAAUACCGGUGGCGAAGGCGCCUUUCUGGACUGUAACUGACACUGAGGCUCGAAAGCGUGGGGAGCAAAC
rnacentral:rRNA from 1 species